rnacentral:lncRNA from 1 species
AUUUAGUUAGUAGUUAAGCUUCCUUCUUAGCUCCAUCUCUUCACACCAAUCCUCAUUAGCAUGUGAGUCAGCGUAUCGAUGGCGUAUCAGUCAGCAUAUCAGUGAAAUUAGUAAAGCUUUGGUGGAGUUUUAUCUCAGUCCAGGUUGAGUUCAGCAGCUGUAUCAGAGGCGUAUCAGCAGCUGUGUUUCAAGAGUUCACGUAUCUGGGGCCGCCAUUGAUUGUUAGGAGCCUGCGGAGACAAGACUUGAUACCAUCGUUGGGGAUGACGGGGAAGAGGUUUAAUUCUUGCAAAAGGGAUAUGUUUAUCCCUUGAUUGAUGACUGUUUAACUGUGAUCAAUACAUUGGUAAUAGCUUUGCCGUCUUACUACAUGGCAGCCUUCAAGCUCCUACAUAUUGGGGGUUAGUGACACGAUGGAUAGACGCAGUAAGGCUUUUCUUUGGAAGGGCAAGGAUUCAGUAAGUCGUUUCUUCCACUGCCUCGUCAACUGGAACAAUGUCUACGAGGAAAAAUUGGAGAGGGGACUAGGGGCUUGAAAAAGCGUCCAGAACUUAUUCUGGUGAGACGCUGGCUGGAACAAGGUUAUUGGAGCUUCCUGCUAUACAAACUAGGUCCUUACAUGCGUAAGAACCUGAUGCGUUUCUCCACAACUUGGAGGGAUGUGUGCAAGCCACCAAGUGCUUCCUGGAAUUGCUGCAGUUUCCAGCCAGGUAAGGAAGAAAGGAAGGAGCCCAGGGCGAGCGAUGUUCCCUGUGCAUAUAUGGAUCCUCUCUUAUAUGCUUGAUCUCUUGAACCUAAUCUUCCAGUAGCAGCCCAUUGGAACAGAAGAGAAUCAGAUUGGCAUCUUGAGCUGAUGAGGCUGCCCUCUACUGAUUACCCUCAUCGGAAAAUCUCUAAAGAUAACUACUACUCCCAAGACACUUCUUCCAAGCCAAUGCGGCACAGAGAAGGCACAACUCACACACGACGCUUGCGCUCAUUGGAGACCCAUCUUACCACAUAAUCAAAGAAUGAAGAGUAAGAGGCACUGAAAAGGUUAUAUAUUAUUUUGUAAGGAGAAUUAUACUGAAACUAAGUUCACCGGUAUCAGAGCACAUUAUUUUCUGAUUUUUUUUUCUUCCAGACGAAAUAUUAGAACAGAGCAACAAUUUCACCUGAUCUCUGGGUUGGCAAAUUUAUCAACAGAAUAACUACACCAACUGGUUGUAUAUCUUAUUACCAUAUCCUAUUCGUUACCUCCUUCCCAUCACUUCCUUCCGACACCUCACCCCAGAUCCUCCUGAUCCUCUUUUCUCAUCAUCAUUUCCAUCGGAGUCCCCCCCUAUCCAAGCCACCGCAUCCGAAAAGAUCCAUGCUACCUUCAUCUUCUGCCCUCUUUUUACAAAAAUUCACUCAUAUUAAUUGAAAGGCAACAACACUGCACCAUAUUUUCAUAGGCAAUGAAAAUUUAAAAAACACAAAAAACAAAAAACCAAACUUGGUCCCCCAGCAAACCAAGGAUCCUCUCUUUCUUCAUCAUCUACUUGGUUAAAGAUACUGACCCUGCAUCACUUCUUUGUUUCAGCCUUUUUAUUUUUUUUUUAAAUACAAGAAUACAAACCAAGAAUUAAAUAAAGAAUUAAAUACUGAUAAUGCUAAAUCCUCCCAGAAAGAUGAAAAACCUAUCUGAAAGGAUAAAGCAGAUGCCAAGAGUAAGUGCAUAGAAAAAAAUGAUAUUCAGCAACCAGUUUUUUUACACCAUGCAGUCUCAUCUUGUUUGAAACAAAAAAACAGAGCUAAGAACAUCUAUUUUGACAAAAAAUUCUCUUAUAACUAACUGACCCUUAAACUGGAGGAGCAAGAUUGGAAAGGACUGCAGAUUUACAUAAGUCAGAUAUAUACAUUUAUAAGGACUAAAAUAUCAUAAAUAGGAACGUGCACUUAAGGCUGAAAGUUUUGCAUCUUGUAUUAGAGUCAGCGGACCUGAAGUUACACAAGAUAAACCAAAACAUAGAUCAUCUUAUAAAUAAAAUAAAAAUCAGGUAGAACUCUUGUCAGUAGGGGCAGAAGCAACAACUAUACAUUGUAUAAACAAAAAUGACAAUCAGAUAACCUAUCUGAAAGUAGGGGCAGAAGCGAGAUGCAUUAAAGUUGAACGAUCAGGUAAAUGCCAUCACAAUCAAUACCAUAUGCAACAUGAGUAGAAUGUUUAAUCACCACCUAAACAGGUCCCCAAGUAACUUGGUGCUUUUCUAAGAGGAGAGAGAAAAGUUGAACAAUUGACACCGUAUAAUGUUCCACAUCUCUUUCUCAUGCUUUCUUCAAAAUUCCUUCCUCACACCCUUCUGUGCAAUGAAACCACUCUCAGAGCAUCCAUAUUUUCACAACAAAUCACAUGCACCUGCCUUUUUACUGUAAUAUUUUUAAAGUAUGAGUAGGAUUCGUUGCCAAGAGUGCCACCCUUGAGCUAGAUUAUUAAGGCCCUGCCCCAACUUGCAUGAAAGAUAUAUGAUGGAGAGGGUAGAUUUAAAUCGCAACCUAUAGUGCAUUAAGGGAAUGCUGACAUAUAUUUAAAUCACAGGCAGUAUAUAUGAUUCAAAUAAAUUGCAUCACAAUGAUAGUCUAUUGUGAAUACCAGAACCAAAAGAGUAAUGGCAGCACUAUGUACCUUUGCACAAGUCAUAGCAAGUGGGAGAUGCAGUAAUGUGCUCUACCUUAAAAUUUCUGCACUUCAUUAACAAUAGACAUCCACUCGCAGGAACCAAGUACUGACCUGAAAACUUCUAGCAGUGUGCACAAGUUAGACACUGUCAAAGAAGGCUCAGCUCUUUAUAAACACCCAUUCCGUAGUAAGAAGUAGAGUAAGAGUAAAAUAUUCAGAAUUUGAUCUAAAAGAAAACCAGAAAAAGAUGAAGGAAAAGUCACUUCCUGAGUGAAACUUAUAAGACCAAAGGACUACCAUCUUGUUCCUCCCAUUGAAUUCGCCUUUCAAAAUUUACAUGGAACAAAAGAUAUAGAAUGCUAGCACCAACAUUAAAUCUUCAUGCAACUUGCACAUGCAUUUUUUCCCCUUAGGAUGAAGGAGGGGGAAGGAGGGAAAGGCCGAUGCCUUAGGAUCUGGUGGUGGAGAUUGAGAGCAAGAAAGAGGACUCGCCUGGCUGGGAUGUUGUCAUUUUCAUCAUCAGAUGUGGAUGGUAUGCCAUCGGAUGGCAUCAUCAGAGGACCAAGGCUAAGGGGUGAGAUGGGAGAGCAGAGACAAGAGAGGAAAGGAGAGAUAGGAGAGGUGAGGACUUUGCGAGGGCUUCCAGCCAUCUGACGACUAAUUGACGGUAAGGGGGGGGGGGGAGAGCUUACCUAUUUGGGAUGUCGUCAUUGUUGGAUGUGGAUAGGACACUGUUGGGGAGUUGUCGGAGGAUAGAGGCUGGAGAAGGCAGGAGAGGGAGAGAGAGGGGAGGUGAGGACUUCAAGAGCAUUGGGAGAGCUGGAGAGGGUUUUAGGAGAGGGAUUAAAGCAUCUAGAUUCAACUGGCCGAACCAUGCCGGUAUUUGGUGAACCUUGCUUGAAACACUAGGUUCAACUUUCAAUCCUUAAAAAAUAAAAAUAGAGCCUGAGGUUGAUAUGUGUGUGCCAGUAUCUAUAUAAAACUAUAGCAUAACAAUAACAAUCAAAGACAUAUAUCAGGAUGUCGGAAUAUGUUGCCACUAUAUUACUAUUCUGAGGAAAGUUCUCUGAUUCUGUUAAACUGCAGGAUGUCAGACAUUUACAGAAAUGAAUUUCAUAUCCUCUAAUGUUUCUAGAAACACUUGCAGAGGAAAUUCAUUAUAGAUCCCUUGGCAGAACACAUCAAAGAAUCUUUGUCCAAGUGAUGUAUGGAGUUACAAGCAAUGGCUUUGCAAUAACUUCCUAUACUGGUUAAAGCUAACCAUUCUCUGUUUAAAGGUUUACAAGGAAAACUUACAAAAACUGAAACAUUUGCUUAAAGUAAAUUUGCCAAGUAGUAGUUUGGACUAAUCUGAAAUUUCGCUCGCAUAACUUGAAAAUGCAUGGAUGACCAGGUGCCUGCCUAGACAAGCAGGCAUCUUCAUACUUCUUCUGACAUUGUGAUCAUUAUUUGAUAACUAACCACACCAAUAAUCUUCAGAAAUUGAAUAUGCACUAAUUUUAAAGGGAUACAUAAAAGUUAAAAUAAAAUACAGGCUGUGAGCAAAAUGUCACUUCAUACUUCACCAAGAUGUAUGAUAGUCUUGAACAUUUUAACAAAGGGAGAGUGUGCUUCUUUAUUAAAAUGAUAGAAGGUAAUUUAUUAUCACCAGAAAGCUAAUAAGUCCCAAUCCAAAUAAGUCCAUUUUAUGCUUCAAAUAGUCCUAUAAUAAUGUACAAAACAAGGGAAGAAGCUUUGCCAAAUUUAUGCUCGUUAUGACGACUUCAGAAUCAGAAAAAGAAAUUAUUUCAAUUUACAAAAGCAUAUAGAUUCCAAAAUACUCACACGCAACUAAGUACAUUUCAAUUUACUGACUGGAAUGUGAUUAAGCUGUAAAUAUGGACCAAUGCAUUGCACGGAAAAAGAUAUUCUGGCAAAAAUUACUUAAAGAUGUUCAUUAACUACAAAUAACUUAGUUAACAGCCUCUACAAAAACAUCAGUUCAUGACCGCUUAACCUGGGAGAUAUUGCUCUGCAGCUGCAACCCUUGGUUCGAUGGCUUCACAAUUUGCCAUUACAUGAGUAUUAGGAAUGUGCCAUCAGUCUGGAAGAAAAAGUAAAUAAGAGGUCAAAGGACAAAAACUAUUACAAAUUACUAAAAAAUAGUUACUUAACAAAAGUAAUGUGUUUGUGCAGUUUUGGGGAAAACAUAAGCAUGAACAUUAAGCAACCGCUUCCUAAGAAAAAUCAUACACAAUCAUUUACUUCUAAUGAAUAUAAUAAUUUGCCACCUUUAAAGCAAAUUGAUGUUCUAUGAUAGCAAAAAUAUGAGGGACACAGAGUGAUGAGGGGAAAUAAACAAAAAGAAAUCUAAGUGAAAGAUAAGAAUGUUAUUGUUCAAUGGUGCAAAAAAUAAAAGAUACACUUUACUCUUCUCCAGGAUGACGGUUGAAUUGUACCAGAAAUAUACUUUCAAAAUUGUUCACCAAAGAGGUUCCCCCCCAUUUUUGCAAAGGUGACGACAAUAAUGAUAGAAGGUUCCAUUUUCAAAAGCUAGCCAUUCGGGAACUAAAUCUAAAUAGAGAAGAUGGAGAAUAAAAGAUUCCACAAACUCAAAUAGUUAUUGACUUAAAUAUAUAUUUAACAUUCGGCAGCCCAGAGUGUAAGAAAAUAACUAGGAACUAUUCAAAAAAUACAACAUUGAUUCCAGAUAUAAAUAUUGUUCGCACUACCUAUGGAUUUAAAGAAAAGUGUAAUGUGAAUACUGUUCCUAUACAAAAAAGAAUAUAAGUGAAGAAGAACAGAACUGAUAAUGUGAUUUUGGGAGACAGUGAGUGAAGAAGAAUAAAACUUCAAGAAAUAUUAUCCACAAUAUUAUCACAAAUGCAGUAGUGAUAUUGCAACUGAGUUCACUAGCAUCAAAACAUAUUAUUUUCAGAUCUUUAUGAUAAAAUAUUAGAACAGAAUACAUUUUCACCUGAACUCAACAGAGUCCCCUGGGUUGGAGAAUUUGUUUACAGAUAAUGCCAAAAUAAGCAGUAUAUUAAUAGGUCCCAGUCAAAGCUGAAUUACAAUUGUGAAAGUAAUAGUAUUCUCUUCGGGUGAGAAUGUACCGCAAGUAGUUGGAUAGAAAUUUUGCUUGCCUUUGUUCAUGCAUUCGGCAUAAUUUAAAUAGACAAUGGAUAACAACCUCUCCUACACUUACGACCAUAGUUUCCUAGAAUAAAGACUCUGACUGCAAAAUAAUAGCUAACAAACAACAAAAUAAUAGCUAACAAACACUCGACUUAUUUUAUGCAUGUGAACGUUAUCCAACAGAUUGGAUCAAUUCUUCCAUUAAAACUGCUACAGUCUUGGAUGACCAAGUCUUCCAACAGAACUGCAGCUAGCUUGGACCAAGUCUUCUUCAAUAGUCCCCAUGCAUGCCAUGUACGACGUUCCCUCACUCCCUAUUAUACUUGUGAUUCUUUAUGGGUGUGCGUUGGGUCCGCCUUGGCCUAUCAAUACCCCCCUCUUUCAAUGGAUCCUUGUCCUCAAGAUCCAUAGAUGGAAACUGGUCCCUCAGCUCCUUAAUGUUUUCCUAGGUAGCAUCCUCUGCAGGGAGUCUUUGCCAUUUAACCAAGCUCUCCUCAAUAAACUUCGAGCCUUUCUUCACCCAGCGAAUAUCCAGCAAAGCUUCCGGCGCCAGCACGAUUUCUCCUUCAUUAGUAACCGGUGGCAAGUCAAUACUGGUUGCACUAGCUUCGCCCAACUUCCUUUUAAGUAAGGACACGUGAAAAAUAGGAUGAACACGAGACCCCUCUGGAAGUUUGAGCUUAUAAGCUACCUUACCCACUCGCUUUUCAAUCGGAUAUAGCCCAAAAAAUCCGCUAGCUAGUUUUUGAUAUGCCCGUUUAAAAACUGUUUGCUGCCGAUAAGGAUGCAACUUGAGGAAAAUCAAAUCCCCGUCUUGGAACUCCACGUCGCGCCUCUUGGAAUCAGCUAUUUGUUUCAUGCGGUUAUUGGCUGCAUGCAAAUUUUCCUUCAAUUGUCGCAGCAAUACAUCACGGGAGGAAAGGCUUUGGUCCACUUCGUGGACUGGAGAUUGGCCCACUUGGUAGUGCGGAAUGGUUGGGGGCAGCCGACCAUACAGAGCUUGGAAGGGGGUCAUUCCUGUGGAUGAGUGAUAGGCUGUAUUAUACCAGAAUUCAGCCCAUGGAAGAAGAGAAUUCCAUUUUCGUGGCUGUUGAUGGACCAAGCAGCAAAGGUAUUGUUCCAAGCACCUAUUUACGACUUCUGACUGUUCGUCCGUCUGCGGGUGGUGGGCGGAACUCAUUUUCAGCUGUGUUCCUGAUAACUUGAAGAAUUCGCGCCAAAAAUUGCUAAUGAAAAUGGGGUCGCGAUCACUUAUGAUAGAUCUGGGCAUACUGUGGAGUUUAACCACUCCCUCCACAAAUUUUUUAGCCACAGUCUUUGCAGUAAACGGAUGAGUCAAAGCCAAAAAAUGUGUAGACUUACUGAGGCGAUCCACCGCCACUAAGAUAGUAUCCUUGCCGUUGGAUGGGGGAAGACCUUCAAUAAAAUCCAUAGUGAUGUCAUCCCAUACUUGGCAUGGAAUGGGUAAUGGUUGAAGGAGACAUGCUGGUGGCAACGUUUCUGCCUUAGCUCGCUGACAAACAUCACAAGAGGAGACAUAGUUGUGCACCGUGUGAUACAUCGACGGCCAAUAGAAUUGUUGGGCAAGUCUUUUGAAUGUCCGCAGCACACUUGAGUGACCACCACAUUGUGAAUCAUGAAAUUCCCUUAAAAGUUGGUUGAUUAUGGGCGAGUUGGGAGGCACUACCACCCGGUUUUUAAAUAAAAUCAACCCAUCACGCCACAUGUAAGAAGCCCCUGAUUUCUCAGUGGCUAACUUGCCAAUUUUCUCCAUGUACACGUCUCCCACAGUCGUGGCCUUAAUAUCAUCCCAUAAUUGGGCCUGCAAAAAAGACAAUGCAUUAAUAAUUGGGCCGCCCACCACUUGUGAGAGUGCAUCUGCUGCGCCAUUUUCUCGGCCUGGCUUAUAAAGUAUUUCAUAAUCAUAACCCAGCAGCUUUGCCACCCAUUUCUGUUGCUCUGGUGUGACCAUGCGUUGCUCCAACAAAUACUUGAGGCUUCGUUGGUCCGUCUGAAUAUAGAACCUCCGACCCAGCAGAUAUGGUCGUCAAGUUCGUAUGGCUUCAAUGAUGGCUAGCAUCUCCUUGGCGUAUGUGGACCACGACAGUUUUGAAACUCCCAGUGAGGAUGANNNNNNNNNNNNNNNNNNNNGUGCUUACGUUUAUUCUUGCAUCAUCUUCUAUCUUUGCACUAGUUUAAAUCAUUCAAAUAGUUUAAGUAAGCAUCCACCGCACUUAAUUAAGAAAACGUUUAAAGCACCAAAAUUUAGAAGAAACCAAUUCACCCCCCCCUCUUGGCUUGUCACCUUGGGCAACACCCAGGGCCCGGCUCAUGAAGGCAAUUGGUUUGCCUUGUUGAGUUAGAACCGCGCCAAUUCCCUCUCCUGAAGCAUCAGAUUCAAUAACAAAUGGCUCAUUAAAGUUAGGCAUAGCAAGAGUAGGAGUAGAGGUCAUAGCCUGUUUGAGGAAAGUGAAUGCUGUCUCAGCUUCAUCUGUCCACCCGAACUGCCCCUUCACCAGAUUAGUGAGUGGUCGCGCCAAUAUCCCAUAAUUACGAACAAAUUUCCAGUAGUAGCCUGUAAGACCUAAGAAACCACGCAAUUUUGAAAUAUUAGUAGGUCUAAGCCAAUCUAGCAUUGCCUUAAUUUUGCCUUGGUCUACUUUUACCCCUUGAGGAGUAACAAUGUGACCUAAUAUUCCAACUCCUGUUGACCGAAGGCACAUUUGCUGAUCUUAAUAAAAAAUUGGUGAUGCCUUAAUAUUUCAAAAGCUUGUUGAACAUGUUCAAGAUGCAUAGUCCAAUUGGGGCUAUAAAUUAAAAUGUCAUCAAAAAAGACCAAUACAAAUUUACGCAGAUAAGGGCGAAAUAUGGAAUUCAUAAUGGCCUGAAAAGUAGAGGGUGCAUUGCAAAGACCAAAAAGUAGAGGGUGCAUUGCAAAGACCAAAGGGCAUAACUAAAUACUCAUAAUGACCAUUGUGGGUAUGAAAAACAGUUUUAUGGAUAUCAUUUGGGUGUAUUCGUACCUGAUGGUAGCCGGCCCUUAAAUCUAAUUUUGUAAAAUAGGAUGUGCCAUGAAGUUCAUCUAGCAUGUCAUCGACCGUUGGGAUAGGAAAUCAAUCUUUGAUAGUAAUGAAAUUAAGGGCCCGAUAAUCAGUGCAAAAGCGCCAUGUACCAUCCUUCUUUUUAACCAACGGGACAGGUGAUGAAAAGGGAUUGGUACUUGAUCUUAUAAGCCCCAAUUUUAACAUGUCUUGAACUUGUUUUUCAAUCUCAGCUUUUUGAAAAUAGGCAUACCUGUAGGGUCGCACAUUGAUUGGUUCUAUGCCUUCUUUAAGAGGAAUGCAGUAGUCAACCUCCCUCUUUAGUGGUAACUGCGUUGGUUCUUGAAAAAUGUCAGCAUAAGCCUCCAAUACUAGCUGCAUAUCCGGUUGAACGUCCUGUCGUGGUACUUCUUCGAGUGACUGCAGACAAAUUGCAAACAUGGAACUCAUCUCAAUUCUUUAGAGACCACCUUCAGAGAUGCAGCUUGAAUGGGCUGCGCAUCAGUUCCUUGUAAUCUUCGAGCUUGAUUCUCCCAUUGGAAUUCCAUUGUCAUUUUUUUCUAAUUACAAACAACCGAACCCAAUUGCUCCAGCCACUGUAUACCCAAUACUAAGUCCAAACCAGUUAGUGGUAAAGAAUAGAGGGUAAGGAAAAAAGGGAUACCCUGAAGGAGGACAUGCACGUUCUCAAAUCUUCCCUGGCACUACAAUCGAUUCCCAUUAGCAACCCGCACCGUGAAUGGCUCGAUAGGAACCAUGGGUAAGUGAAGCAAACUAGCCAUCUUUUCACUAAUAAAAUUAUGGGUAGAGCUGUUGUCAAUGAGCACAACCACUUUAUGAUGCCCGUCUCUAGCCGUGACCCGCAUUGUUUUGGAGGUGGACCAUCCAGUCAACGCAUGCAAGGAUAUCUCUGGUUCAGGCUGAAGAUCGGAUGUAGGCUCUUCUGCAACCUCGUCAGUAAAUUCUUCACACGUAAUGUUGCCCGCACUAGUGCUUCCUUCAAGUAGUAAGAGUUGCGGUCCUCUGCACUUGUGUCCCACAGUGAACUUGUCAUUGCAAUUAAAGCAAAGACCUUGAGCUCUUCUUUUCUGCAUUUCUUCCCACGUUAGGCGCUUCACUGGGAAUGCUGGUAUGGAUCUUGUUGGAGUUGAAAUGUCCAGCUACGGUCGGUUGAGUUGAGGUGGCAAUGUAAAUCUUCGUUGGCGCAAGAGCUGGUCGUCUCGCAUGCAGGCAAGGCUGACAGCCUCCUUCAAUGAUUUCGGCUUAAACAUCCGGAUGCCUUCUGCUAUUUCGGGCUUGAGACCUCCCAUGAAAGUUCCCACCAAUGCCUUCUGCGUCCACCCAUGCACUCGGUUGCCCAGUCUCUCAAACUCUUUCUGGUAGUCUCGUAAGGAGCCCACCUGUUUGACCCAUGAAAGUGCCUCAUCAAAAUCCUCACAUUCGGUUGGUCCAAAUCGAGCCCACAGUUCUUCCUCAAAAAUGGUCUAGGUCACAGCUCGCCCUUCCUCCCUGUAUGCUCGGCGCAGCCACUGCUAUCAUUGGUUGGCUUCCUCUUCCAAAUGGAACAAAGUCGAGGAGACUUUUUGUGCUUCAGUAGAGCCUUGGUACUCAAAGAAUUGAUCUACGCGGUUGAACCACUCAGUGGGGUCGUUGCCAGAGUAUUUUGGAAACUCAAGUUUGGCCAUCUUUGAAGAGAAGAUCUGCCUUCCUCCGUCCAUGUCAUCUCUGUUUUCUUCCCUGUUGGUGCGAGAAUGACCAUCUCGGUCAUUGUUGAUGUUGCUGGAGCCUUCCUUGUUGGAAAACAAAGCCUCGGACAGUCUGUUGAUGGUCCCCUCGAGUUGGUGUAGCUUGUCAGCAACUCCCAGCUCCAUUCAAUUGAUGCCAUCUUGAAGUCCUCCAAGCCCUGCUUCUAAUCUCUCGAUCCUCUCCUUGUUAGUUGCCAUUGUAACCCGGGCUCUGAUACCAAUAAUAGGUCCCAGUCAAAGCUGAAUUACAAUUGCGAAAGUAAUAGUAUUCUCUUCGGGUGAGAAUGUACCGCAAGUAGUUGGAUAGAAAUUUUGCUUGCCUUUAUUCAUGCAUUCAGCAGAAUUUAAAUAGACAAUGGAUAACAACCUCUCCUACACUUACGACCAUAGUUUCCUAGAAUAAAGACUCUGACUGCAAAAUAAUAGCUAACAAACAACAAAAUAAUAGCUAACAAACACUCGACUUAUUCUAUGCAUGUGAAUGUUAUCCAACAGACUGGAUCAAUUCUUCCAUUAAAACUGCAACGAUCUUGGAUGACCAAGUCUUCCAACAAAACUGCAGCUAGCUUGGACCAGGUCUUCUUCAAUAGUCCCCAUGCAUGCCAUGCACGUCGUUCCCUCACUCCCUAUUAUACUUGCGAUUCUUUAUGGGUGUGCGUUGGGUCUGCCUUGGCCUAUCACAUAUAAACAAAUGAAAUUUUCUUACAUCUUGUAUAUCUUCUUACAAUAUCCCGUUCCUUCCUUCCCGUCAUCUCUUUCCACCACCACACCUAAAUCUUCCUGAUCAUGCCACCUUCACCCUCUACCCUAGUUUUGGUUAAAAUUUCCGUUCAUAUUUGGUUAAUGGAAGCAACGCCGCACCAUAUUUUCAGUAGCAUUGUGAAAAUUAAAAAUAAACACAAAAAACAAAUAUCAAACUUGGUCCAAAGUACCGUUCUGUCCACCGGCACUGCACCAACAUCCUCUCUUUCUUCAUCAACCCCUCGGUUGAGUUACCGACCUUGCACCACUUCCAGAAGUUUCAGCCUUUUUAAACUAAAAAAAGAAAUACAACGAUAAUAUGAACCUAGAAAUAGAAGAAACUAAUGAAGAAUCGAAACCCUGGAAGCUAAAAUCCUCCAAGAAUCGAUGAAAACCCUCAUUGGAACAAGAAACAAUUAAUUUCCACCUGGACUCAAAAAAGUGAAACAAGAACCGAACCCUUAGGUUACCGACCAAGAUCUCUUUCUUCAUCAUCUCCUCGGUUAAGUUAUCGACCUUGCAUCACCUCCAAAAGUUUCAGCUUUUUUGUAACUGAAACAAGAAAUACAACGAUAAUACGAUCCAAGAAAUAGAAGAAACUAACAAAGAAUCAAAUCCCCAGAAGCUAAAACCCUCCAAGAAUCGAGGAAAACCCUCAUUGGAACGAGAAGCACUUAAUUUCCACUGGAAUUCAAAAAGUGAAACAAGAACCGAAACCUUAGGACAGAAACCCUCGGCAUUCGUUCAAAACCCUUGCAGGACCAAGAAUCGCAUAAAAAGGAAGAACGAGAAGAGAGAAGAGAGGAGAGAUAGAAUACCGAAAGCACUGAGAUGUUCUGGACGGCGAAGGAUUCGUAGUGAACAUAGAUCAUGGACUUCCGAUUGUCAUGCCUCUCGUCCACCGCUCUGCGAGGGGCCUCCGUCCUUCUUUCCUUCAUCUGAAUCUCGCUCUCUUUCAAUUGUGUCGCCUGAAACGAGAGGGGGAAACAAAGCUAACGAAAGGUGCGGGCCCUAUUUAUCGGAGUGGAGAUGGCGGUGGGUCCCUUUGUGAUCCGUGUACUGCCAGCUGUUAUCUGAUCGCACGCGCGUAUAACGUUUUUUUUCCUGGUGAUAUAUGUGCCCUCCGUUUUAGCCGAUCUAAGUGAUCCCGUCCGUCCGUUUCUUCGUGAUGUCACUGGUGAACAGGAUUCAAGAUCCGCAGGCGGCAUAGGAUUUUCCGCAGGCACGCGCCGGGAUAGUGGGAUGAUGGGAAAGCAGAUGGUAAGGCCUACGGACCAAAAUCUACUCUGUAUGGGCUGGAUUGGGCUGGGCCGGUGAAAUAUUUGAAAUUGUCUCCACUUACAUUACAUACUAUCUUUCUUUUCUUGUCUCGUGAAAAUUUACCCUGCUUGUGCAUCAACAUACAUAUUUUCAAAGGUAUAUUGGAAUUUUCCUGGAAUAAAUGUGUAAUAUAUAAAUGAAAGAUGAAAUCGCCUAAUCUCUUAGGUGAAAUCUCGGAGCUUCCUAAUGGAAAAUUCUUAAGUUGUCUGAGUACUCGCCCCAGUAAUCAAUGAAGCAAAGAUUCGGAAGAUUUGCUCUCAAUGUUCCUUGCAUUAUGACAACAACCCAGCUUCAAUCUUCUGAGGUAGAGUCUGCAUAGCUCCAAAUGAGCCAGUGUGACACAAUGAUAAGAUUGUGAAGUGCCAAACAUCCAUGAUGCCAGUUCUGCUAAAUUUACAACCCUCCAGCUCUAAAACACGCAAGAAUCCAAAGGAUAAUAUAUUAGCAGGCAAAUCAUGAAAAACGUUGUCCAUUUCAUUCUCCGCAUUGCAAUUUUUGCCGGAGGAAUGAUGGCGUUCCUGGUGGCAAAAAAAAAGUUGCAGACAACUCUUCGAUUGUGUUAUAUGACGCCAAAAAUCUAACUAUUGUCUAAUGGUUCUUGAUGAUGCAUAGCUAGUACCUUCGCACCGUCAAAGAUUCAUGAUGGAGCAUCGCUGAAAGCACCAUGAGUUCCUUCUCGUCCGUGUCCUCCCUGAUAUCAGAGAAAUCCACAAAAACUAAUCAGUUAUCAGUGGAUACUACCUAUAUUUAUAUAUAUGUAUGUAUGUAUGUAUGUAUGUAUAUAUAAUAUAUGGAUAGUACCUAAAUUUCCUUUAUUGAGGGCUCUUUCCAAUGUAACAUCUUGUCAUCUUUGAACAAGAUGAUCACAAAAUAAAAGAGCAUGCUUGUUAGGCUAAUGCUCUCCAUAUGCGAAAUAAUGACAUGAAUAAGUAGGAAAUAAAGAAUCUCUGUGGAUGAAGACACGCUGACAAGGGAAUUCUUGCAAACAAUACAACUUUUACACCAUCAGCAUCCUAAUCUUCAUCUGCUUCUUACAAACAAAAAUUUAAUUAAAAGACUUCGCCACAAAAUUUUUCAGAUCGAUGUCCCAAUCCGACAUGCAUGAUCAAGGCUAAGGAAUCCCCAGAAGCCUGUAAAAGUCCUAAUCUAGAACUUUGGUGAUGAUGAGCUACAACUUUUUAAGACUUGCGAGAUAUAAACCAACUGCUUCCCGGCAUCCUCUUAACACCUCUUUCCUCCAUCUCUCUUCUGACCCUCUCUGCCUCCUCGUAUUUCCCUGCAGCAGCGUAAAUACUUGACAGCAGAACAAAGCUCCCUGCGUUCUCUGGCUCUAUCUCAAACAACGCUCUUCCUGCAAUCUCCGCAAGCCCAACUUCUCCAUGAUUCCGGCAAGCCCCAAGAAGUGCCCCCCAAGCCUUAGCAGUUGCUUUCACCGGCAUCCCCUGUAAAACCUCAUGAGCGUCAUUCAAUCUCCCUGCUCGGCUCAAAACAUCCACCAAGCACGAGUAGUGAUCACUGCCUGCCUCCACUCCAUAGUGUUUGGUCAUUAGCUCGAAAUAUUCCAAUGCAUCAUCUGCAAGUCCGGCAUGACUGCAUGCCUUCAACACGCUAAGAAACAUAAUCCCAUCUGGCCGUACACUGUCCCUUUCCAUUUUCUGAAGAAGAGACAUCAUAAUUCGAGCGUUGCCAUGGAAUGCAUACGCUGAUAUCAUGGAGCUCCAUGCUACCACGUCCCUCUCCGGCAUCUGAUCGAAAAUUUUACGUGCAUCGAUCAAACAACCGCACCGGCCGUAAGCUUCAACGAGUCCGCUGGACAGGUGGGAAUGCAGUUGGAUGUGAUGUCUCAUGGCAAACCCAUGAACUUCUUUGAUCAAAUUCAAUGAGCCAAUGCUUACACAAGCAGGUAAGAGUGCUAGAACCGUGAUCAGGUUGGGCUUCAAACCCGAUCCCUGCAUCCGCCGAUAGAAACCGAGGGCUCGAGACGACCCGUCAUCGGACUCUGCGAGUGACGCGAUUAUUGAAUUGUAGGAUGACUCGGUGGGAGUGACAUCCAUGAGCUCAAACAACCGCAGCGCGUUGGUUAUAUCGUUAGAACGGGAGUAGAGAGAGAUCAUCGCAUUCCACACGACAACAUUCCGCUGCGGACAUUCCUCGAACAAUUGUCGGGCAGAGGUAAUGGAGAUGCAUUUGCCACAAGAAUCAACGAGAGCGGAUGCAACGAAUGGGUUAGAGAGCAGACCGGCCUUGACGGCAUGGGCAUGGAUCAGAGCCACGGCGUGCGGGAGGUGAAGGGCGGCGGAAGACUUGAGGGCGAGGGGGAAGGCAUAUGGGUCCAGAGCGAGGUCGGGGCUGGAGAACAACUGGGAGAAGAGGGUGAGGGCUUGGUGGUGAUGGCCUUGGUUCACAUAGGAAGUCAGGAGCUUGGUAUACGCAAGUAGCCGUUGGUGGCUGUUCCGGAGGAAACGCAUGGUCAACUUUAUUCUCCUUCAGUUUCUCCUCCUGGUAUUUGAAUGAAUCCCUCAAAAGGGGUAUCCUAGGAUUUGAUAGCGCUGUACCUGUUCUACUGUCUACUAUUUAAGAUGAUGCGGAUCUUGGCGACAUUCACAUCUAUUGUGUAUGAGCCGUUGUUAUACUAAAAAAAAAAAAUGAUGCUACUGCAAUGAUGAGUCCCAAAUCUGGUGUUUUUGUUGGUUUUGCAAAAAUGAAAUACCACCGUUCUUUGCUUGUGAGAUUUUCUAUGUCUAUAAAUAUUUUUUCUUUUUCCUAUAAAAAUAUGUUCCAAUUAAUUUUAUGCUUGAAUGAAUUAGAGUCAAGGAGUGAGAGUGCAUUCAUUAGAUGGAUGAAAUCAUCAUGGUCAUUGAUGAUUCUUUUGACAUUAUUAUAGCCAUCUAUAUUUACUAUAUAUCAAGUGCAUUUCAUAUAUCCAAUCUAAAUUCAAUAAAAGUUUAAGAUGUCUUUGAUUUACAUUUUUUUUCUUUUAGAAUCAAAAUGGGAGAAAAUCUAGUCAAAAUUGGGUGAAAGCAGUUGAACCCAAGUCAUCCAUGCCACGACACUGUGCAUUUUACAGAAUUUUGUUAUAAUUAAUCAUGAUAUUUCAUGCAUGCGAUAAUAAGGUGACGCAAUUAAUAUGAAUAGCACAUGCUAGUUUAUCAUGAGGUUUUAGUGUGAUCCAUGAAAACAUAGGAUGUUGAUUCAUCCCCUUGAUAUCAUCACAUGAUAGCAUUUGUAGUUGCAAGUACUAUUGGCCUAAACUAUUUUCUUAAGAUAAACUAGCAUCAUAAAUCUUUAAUUAGAGUGGGUUUUGCAUAAAAAUUAUUUAAUUAUUGAUUUUGUAGAAAUUUUUCAAUUAAUCUCUUCACCAAGUGGUAAACAUUUAAAGAUUUUCCGACAAUCCUGUUUGUGAGCCCAAGUAUGAAACAUGUGAUGCAUGAUUAAAAUCUGCUAUUUAUUUUACUUUAUCGCCCAUCUCACACUUAGUCCUUGAUAUAAAUUUAUUCAAACUAUCUAAAUAUAUAAAUUGUAAAAAAGAAUCAAACUUUUCUUGCAAAAUGAAUAAUUAAGAAGUUGUGAUCAUCGAUCCUACCUCCGCACCAUUAUAACUAACUGCCUGUAUAUUAAUAAGCUAUUCCUAAUUUAAUUUAAUUCUUGUUAUAAACAAGAAAAAUCAAAAAAAUAUUAUUCUGCUAUUGAUUUAUACCUCAAAAUCAAGAUGCAAUUUUUUUUUAAAGAUCAAUAGGCACCUAGUGCCUAGAGGAAUUUUUUCUAAAAGUUAACAAAUCAGAAUAUAUUUAGUCAACCAGACAAAUAACAAAACUUCUAGUUUGAUUGUGGAGAGAAUAAUAAAUUCGGUCUUCCAGCUCAGCUGUACAAAACGAGAAACAGAGAAAGCUCCAAUCACUUCAAAUCCUCGAGAGGAUAAUUUCUCCUCAAGAAAAAUUUUUAUAAAAAAGGGGCAGACGGACUAUUUUAAAACGUAUUCGAACCAACUAAAGGAAGAAAAUGGAAAAAGGAGAGAUCUUUCGAAGUUGUCUGAGUCUUGUUAUAAGUAAUGGAGCAAGAGAGAUUACAUUUUUAUGUGAUAUUCUCUAUUUCUUCUAAGAAUUCUUCUAGAUUUCUUCGUGCUGGUUGACAGAAGCGGUUCAAUGCAUUUGGAGGCCUAAAGCGAACUCAUUAAGAGGAAUCUUUUUCCUUUUUCUUUUGUCUUUGAGGCAUUCCCUGCGGAAGGCCUUUCUUGCGCCGGGGCCUUAGGCAACCGUCUUAGUCGCCUAAGAAUUGGGCCGGCCCCACUGGUUGACAACGUGUACUACAAGUGGCAUUUAGAGAUGAGGGUAGUCUUGAUGUGUGGGGGACGAGGAGAGAACCCGUAGAGGGGCGUCCCAUGCUGAUCGCUUUAGGAAACGGACUGGACACCCUCGGAAGUCGGAAGUGCGACUACGGUUCGGCACCUAAGCAGAACCAAUCUGCACCCAGAACGGUUGAAGCUGGAACUUGAACUGAUGUUUUUUUUGAAGCCCCUUGCUACAGAGGUGCAUUGCAGGGGCUGUGUUUUUUUUUUGAAGCUUUUUUGUUGAAUUUAGUAUUUAAAAUAUUCAUGCUGUAAAAAGCCUUGAGAAAAUUCUGGCAUAUCAAAGUGGAAUAAAUAAAUGAAUAUGUAGAGUGACAAAUUUGAUGAGUUCCAACAAGGCAACAAUCAAAAGAUUGGCAAUAGCAGACUACAACAGUAAACCGAUCUUUGGUUUCCACAAGUAUAAUAAUUUAGAAUCCAUAUAUAUUUGUCCCUAUAGAUGUCAUGACCCUUGAAGUCAGCUCAAGCUCUAAGAGCUCAUUAUCAUAAAUUAUCCUGGAUAAAUCAUGUUUCAAUGGAAAGAUGCAAUGGUAGCACCCAAGUAUAUUUCCUGAAAUAUAAUUAGCUGCUUCAUAAAAGUGAGGUUCAAUUUCUGAAAGGUGCUUGCAAUCUUAAGCAAAAGCUUCACAAGCUCAAGCUCACACUCACCUUAUCCCCACUAAACCCAUGAACAUCAAAUUCCUUGAGAAGACAAGCUCAAUUUGCCAUCCAAAUUAUGCAGCCUUCAGUUCUCUCCCAAUCCAAGCAUGCUCUAAUUAGAAUCAACUUUCUAAACAAAUAGAGAAUAAGAUGGUAUAACCAAAAUGCUGAAUGUAUAGCAAUCACCUCAGCUGCAUUGAUCGUGAGAGUUCUGAGAUUAGGAUAUUUUUGCAAUAAGGUUUACUCACUUCAAUGAUCUGACUGUGUCAAAAACUUCACAUUCUUCAGGUUUUAUUUUGAAAGUGGUAAGCAUUUUUCAGUAUGUUGCACUUCAGAUAGGAACUAUACUGCAUAACAGAGUCAUAGGUUAGAAAUCAAUCUCCAUGGAAAAAAUAACAUUACCUCUGAAGCCAUGAACAUGACAAUAAAGAACAUGUUAAGCCAAAAACAACAUGAUAUCUAAACCAAUCUUCAUAUGAUUAACAUGAUAAUUUGGAGCAGUACCUUCAAGUUUGUUCCAGAUAGUGCCCAGGAAUCGACAUUAGCGCUGUAAGAAUUCAAUAAUCAUGGAACGGAUCAGGAAUAAAUUCCAAAGACAAAGUUUUGACCUAUUAAAUCUUAGUAAUUGAACGAUAGGAUACUUGUCAUUAAACCCUUGAAUAUCUGGUCAUAAUAUCUAAUGGUAUUUUUCAUGCAAUGCAACAUAGCCAUCAUAGAAAAAUCUUACAUAUACAAUAAAAUACUUGAGAUUGGAGGCAGAAAAUCUGAUGUCUCAACAUGUUGAAGAUUGCAACUCUGUGAGUCCAAAUUCUCAGGUGGAUAGCAAGAUAGAAGUUUAUCAGAACAUAGUGAAACAAGAUGAUAAUCUUUUGAGCCCUUACGUCUUAUUAAGAAUUCAAGCUGAGUUCAUCAAACCAAAACUUUAGUUUCAAAACCCUUAUGUCUGAACCCAUAGGAAUCUUGUGAGUCUUGGUGAUACGAAGGCCCAUCAAAGAAUUAGUACUUUAGUGCCAUGUACGGGACAGAAGCUUGACCUUGGAUGGAAGUGAGCUCAUUCAUGUAAUUGAGCCAUGGUUAGGUCCAUGAGUACUGCAAGUCAUUGGUUGAGACACCAAAUUACUUGUACUCAGUGGCAUAAUAUAUAUUCCACAGUUGUCUUAUUCCGAAUACCUUACCUGCAUAUAAUUCUGUAAAGCCUCAUAGAAAUUGAAGAAUCUUACUCGAGAAAAUCUGCAGUUGUGAGGAUAUAUGGUGUAAAUCAUAGCAAGGUAUAGGUACCAUGUUUUUUUAUAUUCAGCCAAAAUAAUUUUUGUUUUAGUCUUUACUGAUUCUGGAGAAUUUAGAGUAAGCUCAAGGUUAAGCCUUCCUUAGUGAAAUUGUUUGAUGGUUGUAGGUCAGGUUUUCAAUUAUACCCUCCUUUCUCUCUGUUUUAAGUUUUCAUUAGUUACCUCACCACCCACCCCCCAAAAAAAUCAAUAAAUAAACAAAAAUAAAGGACUUACACCACAACAAUUAUAGUCCUAAAGAUUCUAGCGUUAGCGGUGCCCAAGCAGCAAUAGAAUUAGUUUGUGAUGCAUUUAUGUAGUUUUGGGACACUCUAUCCAUGCCAUUAGAAGAAAAUAUAUCGAACCUUUGUUAUUCUCUUGCACCUGUGACCAAUAUCUCAAGCCGUGUGAUCGAUGUUGAUCAGGAUUUUUUUUAUAUAUUUCUCGAGAAAUGUAGAUAAAAAAUUCUUUUGCAAUUAUUAGGAUCAUACCUUUUGUGAAAUAUUCAAAGGGAAGCCUUAUCAAAGAACAAAGGGCCAGAUUACAUAUCUGCAAUUUAUCUUUUGCUAAUGUUUCUGCUAUUUUAAAGCAGCACCCAAGAGGCAAAAACACUACUUCUCAAGUAAGAUAUAAUUACAAAAAUUCCUGCUAAAAGUAAAAGCAGAUUAUUGAAGACAAGCAUGUAGGAGGAUAGAAGAUGUUAGUGGUCUUUGGAUCUCUUCAUGCUGAAUAUUCACAUUACUGCUUCCAUCUGCUCGCAUUGUCUCCUGAUUCUCCAGUCUUCUUUGAUGGAACUAGAGUAACUUUUUCUGCUGAAAAUACGUUACUAGACAAUAAUUUCACAAAACUGAGUUCAUUUUCAGUUGCACCAAAGUUACUGAUCUCAACCACCCUAAGAUGACAUAGACGAGCCGAAUCUGGCAUAGGGGCUAUGGAUCCUCCUUCCAUGCAUAAAUUAUUUGGCACCUGCUUAAAAGUGAAUAUCAUAAAAUCAAACUGUUUGAAAUUACCAAGGAAGCAUGGAUUCUGUCAGUCCUCUUAUCACCUCAUAUUGAUCAAUCACCAGAGAUUCCAGAUUGGGCGAGCGCUGAAGCAGGCUAGUUAUCGCUGCAAUGCCAUCUCUGUCAAGUGAAGUGCCUGCUCUCAGAUGCUUAAGUUUGCGAAAUAUGGGAAGACUCUGCGAACGAUCUCUUCUUUGCAGGAGAAACUUGAAGAAGAAUAAGAUGCAAGUACAAGGAUCACAAAAUGCUGGUGGAAACAUAAAACAUGCAACCAAAGACUACUUCCACCUUAAUUUAUAUCAAACAAGAAUUAGAUUCCAAUUCAACACCCAACUGGGAUAACAUGUUGGAGGAUGAAAAGGGGACGCAUACCUUGAAGGCAACAGACAAGAAUUCCAGAGACUCAACAUUAUGAAGUCCUGCAAGCAAGUUACUUAUUCUUCUAUAGCGAUCCAUAUCCCCAGCAUCAUCAUCAUUCGAUGAAUUAGAAAAGAGGCAGAUAGAAGCACACGUCAAAGAAGACAAGUUCAUUAGAGUAAGUUCUUGAAACACCAUGCCCCAGUAGGCAAAGGACAGCAGUCUUGGAGCAGAAAUCCGAACCACGGCCUCGGCAUCGUCAGGUACAUAUAGUUCUAAUCUCUUAAGUGCAUGGGAACAAAUCUCUAAACUAGUGAAAUAACAAUGCUCGAAGGAUAAAACUUCGAGGAGAGGGCAUCCAGAGAGGAGCUCCUUUAAUGAGUCAUCCAGGAAUUCGGCAUAUGAGACCUCCAACCUCUUGAGCUUAGGGAGGGAUACCGAACCAGGCAAACCGAUGAAACCACACAUAGCUUCCAGCUUCAGCACCUGCAGUGACUGGCAACUGAAGAUACAGCUCGGCAAGCUCUCAUCUAUGUACAGAUGCAUUUGAAGCUCGAGACAUUUAACGUUACGUUUCACCACAAAACGUAGCCAUCGGUCAGCUUGCUCCAAAUCUUUCCCUUCCCCCAGCCAUUGAAGGCGGAACGUGGAGAUGUCCGACGCAUCGCGGAGGAGGAGGACAGUGUCGAUAAAGUUCGGGAACCUCCGUCUACCAUCCGCGGUGGAAUCGAAGUCAUCAGAGGAGAAUGACAGGCUAGGAGCCGACGCCCACAGGUGCGUCCACCUCUUUGACAGGAUGCUCGCCUCCACAAGUUGUCGGGUGGGGAGGAACGAGAAUAUGUGGUGGAGAAUGGCAUCAGGCAAUUCACUGAUCCUGUCGCGGCUUCUUCCAAUCUCCAUGGCGCCACAUCCGCUUCCUGCUAUCCGACCGACCGACAUCUAUCUUGUUGCUGUGCUCUUCAUUGUGUUUAUGACUUUUACGAAAUCGGGAUCUGAAUUUCGUCAAAACUCGGAUUCAUCCAUCGAAAAAAGGAACGGAUUUGGGUUUCUCUCUUGUAAUGAAACAGUAAAUAGUUGUGAAAAGUGAGAAUUAUCGACCAGAGAUUUUGUUCAUCGUCGGAAUACCAUAUGAACAAUUAGUGGGAUUUGAUGCUGAGAAAAUCUAAUAACAGCUGUGAAGAGAAGCUGUAAGAACUAAUUCAUAAAUUGCCCAAGAAGAAGGACAGAUCCAGACCUUAAAGAGACGAGAGUUAGAGGAAAAUUACCGGAGAAGAAGAAAAUGACGACGUCGUUCGCUCGUUCGCCCGGUGAAAAAUCCUAGCUAAUUUCCGACGGAUACGACCCGCGCGCGUCCAAAUAAACCCCAGGAAGGGCGACGACGGCGAUCGCGAGCGAUGGCCGCUUGCGGUUAUGCCCUAGAGGAGAGGAGCAAAGGCAGUGUAUUUUCUCCGGGAGCGGGAGCGAUCCAUAAAAUACGGCCACGUAUUAAUAACAUUUUCCUGAACAAUCUUCUUUGAGAUCUUGUUGGCCGUAGUGACACCGUCGAGUGUGAGUCCCCGCUGUUAAAAAAAAAGAAAAAAAAAUCGUAAGUAAUUAAACAAUAAUUUAGGGACCCUUAAUAAAAUUGCUUUGACGCUUCCUCAGUCGGCAUUUUGAACUCACAUUAACGGUAAAACUUUCAGAUAGUCCUUUUUUUUUCUUUAUUAUUUUUUUGGGAGACAAACUUUCAUCAUUAGACAGCUCUCAGACCAUGCGUAAAACUUAUAUAGCCGAAAGCUCCACCCCAAGUUCGUUGUUGUUUCUUAGGAGCUUCUACCCCCGGCCAUCUCAAUGUGAACUUUGAUUGUUGUACUACUGGUGAUGGAGAUAGAGCAGUGUAGAGUUCGUGAUCAGGAGUCAUGACUCACAGGUCAUUGCUGUAGGCAGGUGAUGCACAUAUGGACUGACAUCUAUAGGAGCGGAGCUCAGAGCAAUAUAGGAAGGUAUUUCCUAUGUGAGACAGAGGUUGAAGGCAGAGCGCAUUAUUUUUAAGGGCGACUCGGCCACAGUAAUCAAUUAGUUACGCGAGGAGGGGCGGAGAGGGGAUGAGAGUCCUCUACCCGGUGAUAUCUGGCAGAUGGUGAGAGACUGCAUUAUCUUUCAGGCAGUGCAUGCGUAUAGAUAGGCUAGGCAAAUAGGGCUGCCGACUGGGUCGCCUCCUAUACAUCACAACAUUUCGGAGGGGUUAUAUGGACCAACCAGAAUAUCCCUCCUUCACAGUUUUGCUAAAUUGUCGUCCUAGAUUCUGUUGGCUGUACUUAUACUAGAAUAGGGUGAGCAACCAUUGUAUCGAAAAAAAAAAAAGGGGGGGGGGGGGGGGGGGGGAGUGAAAAGAGAUAACUAUUUCUAUGAUGUCAUCCACAUUAGUUAUAUUGCAUAUCAUAUUUGGUUGUUCAGAAAUAUUUGCAUAUUUGAUAAUUUUAACAAAAACUCUCAAGUGACACUCAUGAAGGUAUCCUUUCAGGCAACUGAGUUCAUUCAUGCUAAUACCAUAGAAGAACUUUUGAUAGUUAGACACACCUGAGACUAUUGCUCGCAAUUUCUGCGCCAUUCAUUGUGAUUUAUUCCCCAUUGGAAUCCUCCAAGCUCCCUCAAAAUUAACUUUUACAGUAGCACUUUGGGUGGUGGUUUUACUAUUAGUGCAAGGGUCGUCGUUAGAAGUCCUAAUUCACCAUUGGUAGCAGCAAGUGGUUCGCAUUUGUAUGAUUCCACCUAUUCUGAUGGCAGAACUUAGGGGAGCUUGGGAAGGUCUAUUAACUAUAUAUAUGCCACCACUAUUUGAGGGCACCCAACAUUACAUUGAGGGGGACUUAAUGACAAUGAUUACCUAGGUGACCAAUCCUAUUAAGUAGGUUGAUGAUGCACAUCCUCUUCUAGCUAAUAUUUGGAGGAUUUGUUCAUUCUUGAUAGUUUUAAAGUUGCUCAUGGAUAUAGGGAGGCCAGUGCAGAUUGAAUCACUUCCAUGCAACUAAUCAUAUGGGAUAAAUCAUUUGGCUCUCCCUUUUUUUAUUCCCGGGCUGUAUGCUGAAUUUAUGCUCGAGCCUAAGUCAGCAAAGAGCUCGAGUGGCUUAGGCUUGUAAGGAAACCAAGCAAAUAUCAAAUUUGAGCUCAGCCUAGUUCAACAAAGAGCCUAAAUUUGAAGCGUCAUUAGGUUUGAUGGUUUUGGGCUAGCGUUUGAGCAGCAUAGUUUCAACCUUGAAUCCCCUUAGAUUGUUUUUUCAUCUAAAAAUAAUGGCUGUUAUAAUAUUUUGGACGUCUCUUAUUACGUUAGAUGUAUCGAUUGAGAGACUUGAUGUGAUAACUUUCAUUUCAUUGUAAAGGCCUUUAUUCAUUUAUUUGUUAUUUAUUUAUUAAGAAGAGAGGCAAACCUCAUUUGUAUUAUCGGAUGGUAAGUAGAACUUAGAAACGGACGAACACACGGUGGAAGGAAACGUGUACAUAGGACUGGUGCAUGACAGAAAAGAAGACGAUGACCAACCAUCAGCACAAACAAACAACACACAAAAAAAAAAGCUAGGAUGCAUGGUCCCACCCAGCAGCCCGCUUGGCAACCAACGACACAAUAGACAAAGCAUGGCCCAACCAUGCAAUGCGAAGGGGUCCGGGUCCGGCGGCCUUUGGGGACGGCACUGCCCCAUUUCAUAGAGCCUAGCUUGUAUUUUGCAUUCUGACUCUUCAUAGCGUACUCGUAUCUGAGUGUAGUGAGACACCGAUGUACCCCCCCAAAAAAAGACGGGGAGGGGGAGGGGUGUUCUUGUUGAAAGGUUUUGCACCUUAUAAGGCUGAUUCUGUAGGAUUGUGUUCUACACAGAUCUCAAAGCAGUUCAAAUUUUUUCGUUCAUCCAUUUGUAUAGAUCUUAAAGCAACUAUCAUGUGAUCUAAUAGGGGACGCGUAUAAAGAAAAUAUGAAUUCUUCUUUUGUUCGAAAGAUACAACCCUAUCGCACCGUAAAGAACCUAACAAGUGAGGAGUAAACAUUGGAGGGUUGAGCAAGAUGAGUCAGAAUCCUCUACGGUGCAUAGUUUGCACCGCAUAAGGCUACAUAACACUGAAUAGCAACCAUGUUAUCUAUCUUGAAAAGAGAUAGCCUCCUUCAAUUUGCAAUACAUCAUGUACCGUACUGAAACCAAGCUGCUCCUAUUCUCAAGAUAGAGAGCUGUUCGUCUCUAAGAUGAAUGACGUGGUGGCUAUCUAAAGCUUUAUUGUUCUCUACGGUGCAAAACAUGCAAUAUAGAGGUUCCUAACUAUAGAAAAAUACCAUAAGGGCUAACGUUAUCUUAGGACACCAUUGACUCUAAAGCAUCGCAAACAUUAAAAACUCACACAGAGAGAAUAUAGAAGAUGCUAGCCUAUUGGGGCGUCUUGAAAGCCCGAAGUAGAGCAGCCAACAUCAUCUCAGGCUGUGUCUAACGGUCACCUUCAUGGCCUAUGUAGCAUUGGGCGUCGAACAGCUCUCCAAAGGGCCAUGCGCACCUUAUCAACAAGAGCUUGGUGAGCAGUAGUGGCAUUGGGUUUUAAGUCCCCAAGCACCGCACAAAAGUAUGGCGGGUGUUGACCAGCCUAUAUAUGGAGGAGCUUGAGAGCCUCCCAAUCUCAGAGUCAUGGUGGUCUAAUAUGAAGGUUUAGAUUGUCUGUGGUGUGUUUUGCACCAUAGAGGGCUUGUGUAGCCUUGCAUAGCCACCAUAUUGUGGUCCAUCUUAGAGACAAAAAGCUAUUUUUCAUCUUGAGAAUUUGAACAAAUCAUGCUUGACAGAGCAUGUGAAAUAAGUGAUGAUGAACAGCAUGAUGGCUAUCCAGAGCUACACGACACUCUUAUAGUAUAAAACACUUAUCGCACAAGAUUCUGACUCCUAGUUCAUACCUAUUUGAUUGGCGGAGGAUUGGUGUGGAUAGAUGACGAUGGUACUAGAUCCAUGUUCGCUGGCCAUGGAUUCAAGCAGCCCUACUUGCUCCAUGAGCUGGCAGGUUGAUGGAUCCAAAACGGAAUACAUCACCAUGAACCCUAAUCCCUCCUUGUAUGCUUUCUUUGAUUGGAUCUUUUUUGGGGUAUACAACUUUUAUGAUGAUACAUGUAGCUUAUGUUUAGUCUCAUAUUAAUUAUACACUAGAUAAAUCUUAGAUAUAUGUACAAUUCUAGGCAGCAUAAGAUAUAUAUUUUAAUCAUAUUGGUUAUACACUUGGUAGAUCUCGGAUACAUAUACAGAUUCAAAAAAUUCAAAUAAUACUCUUCUACUAGCUUUCUUGGAUGGAGUAAUGCUGAUUUUUUUUGGGUACGGGAUGAAGUAAUACCUUUCAGCCAGUCUUUUUAGAUGAGAUAAUAUAUGCUAGGUAGCCACCUCGACAUUGAACAAUCCAUCUCCAUUUGAAAAAUUGUUCAAACAAAUCCCAAAUUACAUCAAGCUCAAGCAAUUUGGCGGCCUAUGUUAUCCCUUAACUAGGCCGUAUAACAAACAUAAACUUGAGCCCAAGGCCCAACCAUGUACAUUUGUGGGUUACUCACUCUCCCAAAAUGCAUAUCUAUGCCUUGAGCCCUUUACACGAAAGCUCAUUCACUCUGGGCAUGUCAUCUUCCACGAAGGGACUUUCCCUUUUCAAAACACAAGCCCUAAAAUUCCCAUGCCCACUUCACCUACAUUAGGCCAAGAAAAUCCCUCCGUCAUGAUCUCGUUGCCAAAAGCCAGCUUCACUCUGCUUCAAGCUCCAGAAACUCCGGUAUUGGGUGCUGAAGUCUCGCCAUCGUCUGCGACUGGGUCACCUCCUGAACCGCCUCCUCAUCAGGUUAGUAACCCCUCUUCCUCUACCUUGAUUUCGAAUCAAAUUUCUCCAUUAGAAGUGCAUGAAUCCAAUGUUUCUGAAAACAAUGAAGUACUCACUUAUCGCAUAUGAGCAAUAUUUAUAAGCCAAAAAAAUCAUUUGUAGUCACUAAGCAUCCUUUUCCACCCUUCUUGGAACCCACGAGUGUUACUGAAGCACUCACUGAUUGACGAUGGCGUGAUGCCAUGUCCUCUAAAUUGACUAUUUUAAUGCAUCACAAUACAUAGCAACUAGUUCCACCACCGAGUGAUUGUAUUAUUGUUAGCUGUAAGUGGGUGUUUCGAAUUAAGAAGUAUGCUGAUUGAUCUGUUGAUCGAUUCAAGGCCAGACUCGCGGCAAAAGGGUUCAAUCAGAGACCAGGACUGGAUUACAAAGAGGCAUUCAGUCCUGUAGUAAAACCAGUCACCAUACGCACUGUGUUAGCCCUUGCUGUUAUGCAAGGUUGGUCACUAAGGCAAUUAGACGUCAAUAAUGCCUUUUUUUAUGGGCAUCUCACUGAAAAAGUAUAUAUGAAAGCAACCACCUAGUUUUAGAAAUCCGGAAAAACCAAAUCAUGUUUGCUGUCUUACAAAGGCAAUAUAUGGGCUAAAACAAGCACCUCGUGCUUGGUACUCUGCCCUCAAACAAGAACUAUUAGAAUUUGGUUUCCUCAAUGCUAAAUCUGAUUCUUCUCUAUUUGUGUUUCAUGAUGGUUCUAUACUUGCCAAUUGCUUGGUGUAUGUUGAUGAAUUUGAUUCUCACUUGAAAUAAUUCGACAUUCGUUGCAAGCAUUAUUGAUCAACUUAGAAAAAAAUUCUCCAUCAAAGACUUGGGAUCAUUACAUCUUUUCCUUGGUGUUGAGGUCAUCCCGACCGAAGAAGGCUUGUUUUUAACUCAGCAUAAGUAUAUCCGAGAUAUACUUGAUAAAACGAGGAUGGAUGGAGCUAAGGAUGUCACAACUCCUCUAUUUACCGCAAUACCUCUAAAGCUGGCAGAUGGUUCCUCAUCAGCUGAUUCAACACAAUACCGAAGAGUGAUUGGAGCAUUGCAAUACUUGUCCUUAACAAAACCUGAUAUAUAGAGAAGGCACACUGCUAUGGUUUUGAAUUUUAAACUCACCAAUCAUUUCUAUUCAUACUCUGUAUAUUUAUACAAUCAGAGAAGCAUAAUUUUAGGUGUACAAAAUAUGUAACUGAAAAGAAAAUUUACAACACAAUAAAUGGUAAUAUGUACAAAAAUAAAAAACUGAUCCUAGAAUUAUGGGAGGCACAAAAAUCUAGUAGUGUUUAUUGCGGUAGCUAGACUUGAGUUGUCACUUGCUUGACUGAUCCUAGAAUCAUGGGAGGCACAAGAAAUCUGGCAGUGUUUAUUGCGGUAGCUGGACUUGAGUUGUCAUUUGCUUGUUUUCUUUAUUUUCCUUAAUAAUUACAACUUUAUUCAACAGUUUCCAUUAUUGAUCAUAAAUUGAUAUUUUUAUAAUACCAAUAUCUUUUAUAGUUGAAAAAUGUCGUUUUAUUGAUUUUCUGUUUGCUUUUGCAAUCAUCAGUGCUUGUUCUACUGGGACCAAACCGCUUGCAAAGUAAACAAUGGCAAAAAGAUAUUGAGCAAUGAAAUUUUGUAGGUGCUUGGUUCCUAACUGAGUUAGGGUUAUUGCAUUUAGGAGAACUAAGCCUCUUUUAGUUACUUCUCCACAUCUCGAACUUGCUUAUCUAAAUCAUAUUAAAGGCCUUUAAUCUGAGCACAAUCUUAAGGUUCUGGACUUUGGAGCUUCAACACCGAAGACAGAAUUUGUGUGCCCCCGAAAAAUCAUAUAUAUGGAAGCACUAUUUGCCAAAACUUGAAGCUCCAGUUACUUAUUGACAAUCAUCAAAAUCUUCAUGGCGAAAAAAUGAUCAGCUAUAAACGAGCCAAAGUCCGCAAGCGUCCCCACCUUUGGCGACAGGGCACAGCUUGACAACUUGCUCGGUUGAGAUCAAGUCUGUGACAUAGAAGUGAAGAAUAACACCAGGCAAUUUGGCGAUUUUGUUGCGGCUGCUGCUGCUCUACAUUGUGCUCCACUUACAGGUAAAAAACGAGACAAGAGGAAGAGAGAAAGCGGAUGGGUGAGGUAGGGGAGAGGCAAGCGAGAAAGAGGGUGCUGUGAGCUUGGGAGAAAGAGGAGAAAUUAGGCUAACAACUAAUAGAAGGCAGAACCAACCCGUUCAUAGAGCGAGGGGUACAUUAGAGUAGCAUAGUAUUAAUUAAGUUGGGUAGUAUAAAGCAAAGGUGGCAAGCGCAAAUGCAUCACAGAACUUGUUCCAGUCAAUGUAAAUCAGUAGUUCUUACCAACUUUUGUGUACCAAUUUUAUAUAAGUACCUGGAUUGGCGUAAUCAUCAACUUAAAGAUUUUUAUCUCCAAUCGAGAGGCUGAAAAAAGCAUAUCAACUAAAAUUAGGAGUUCCGUUUUCAGUCAAUGAAUAUUUAAAUUAGCCACAAUAGUUAUUUGUUAUUACCCUCACAUGCAUUACAAUAUUACAAAUGUAUGGACAUAUAAGGCUAGCAAUCCAACUGGCUAGUUUCACUUCUCUUCUAUAUAUUAUAUAUGUCUAAAUGGAGGCUCAACUUGUGUAGAGUUCUCCAUUCGUUGUAUGAACGCUGGCAUUAAUGAUAUUGAUGUCAAUUUGCUGGAUUAUUAUUAAAUUUUAUUGCUUAAUAUGCAAUAUUUAUUAAUGAUAUCAGUAUUAAUGUGUUGGGCCAUUAUUAAAAUUUAUUUGUUUAAUAUGCAAUAGAAAUUUGGCUUUCAAAAUCUUCUGGAUGUUAUAAUUUAUUACAUUAUCAUAUUACUUUUUACAAAUAGUUUGAAAAAGGAUAAAGAAAUUGUAACCCAUGCAUCAUGUGGGUCAAUAUUAAAACUGUUGGGAUUAAUGAUGGAAGUUUUUGUAUGGUGGCUCACGUUAUGCAAAAUUCUUCAUUCACCAUAUAGAGCUUGCACUAAUGAAGAGAGUUUUUGCUUUUUCAUUAAAAAAAAAAGAGAGAGUUUCAGCUUGGACAUAAUUAAACUUGAUUGUUGAAAUAUUUUAUUUGUGAUGACAUGGUGCAUUACCAUAUUAUAUUUCAACAAUAAUUGAAAAAAAUUGGAAAAAAUAGUACUCCACUCAUUGAUGCGGGUUAUAUUAUAGUUUAUAUAAAGUCUACUGUUUUUUCACUCUAUGUUAUGUAAAGCCGGUAUAGGCCAUAUCAACUUCAUUUAAAAUCAGCAAAUCUUGCCUUAUCUGUAUAAAUAUGCUUAAGGUCUGCUAGAUAUGAAAAUUAGCUCAACUUUUUCCAGCAAUCAAUGGACCAUUUGAUACAGCAUGUGUUGCAUCUCGCACAUGUGCCUUCUCUCUUGAUGUAUGAUCAUGUGGUUGAUGAUGCAUUAAAUCAUCAAAUGGUCCAGUGAGCAACCAUCUGAUUGUACCCAACCCUAAUAAAAUAUUUCAACAAUCAAUGGGCAACCAAUCCUUAGCACCUAAUAAAGAUAUUUUCUAUUCAAUGGGCAACCACAACCAUCUGAUUGUACCCAACCCUAAUUUAGACCAAUGUGCCCUCUCUCUCUCUCUNNNNNNNNNNNNNNNNNNNNACUACUACUACUACUACUACUACUACUACUACUACUACUACUCUCUCUCUCUCUCUCUCUCUCUCUCUCUCUCUCUCUCUCUCUCUCUCUCUCUCUAUAUAUAUAUAUAUAUAUAUAUAUAUAUGAAAUGGAGGCGGGUUCUCCAAUCCUUAGCUAGCAACCUGUAUUAAUGACAUCAAUAUUAAUGUGCUUGGGCAUUAUUAAAAUUUAUCCCUUAAUAUACAACAUAUAUUAAUGAUGACGGUAUUAAUGUACUUGGUUAUCAUUAAGUUUAUUAUUUAAUAUGCAAUAAAAGUUUAGCUAUUAAAGUCUUCUAUUUAUUAUAAUUUAUUAUAUUAUCAUGUUGUAUUCUAAAAAUAAUUGAAAAAAAAAGAGAAACCAUACCGUAUCCAUCAUGCAGGACCAAUUGCCGGUAUAAACAAUGAGAUUUUGCAUGGGGGCUUAGCUCAUGCAGACUUAUCCUUUCACCAUAUAAAUGCCAUCUUAGUAACGGCGGUAUUAAUGAUUGGAGUUUUUGGUUGGCCAUAAUUAAAGUACGUUACUAAUGUGCAACAUAAAUUCAACUAUUAAAGUCUUCUAUUUGGUAUAAUUUGUAAUGCUGCUAUAUUGAAUUUCAAAAAUAAUUAAACAAAGAAGAAAAAAAUCACUUAAAGUUAGCCAACCUUUCCUUAUCUAUAUGCAUUAUAUGCAUAUGCUUAAGGUUUGCUAGAUAUGAAAAUCAGCUCAACUCUUUCUAACAUUCAUUGAACCGCUUGAUCCAGUAUCAUGUUGCAUCUUACACGUAGGCCUUCACGGGUGUUGAUGCAUGAUCAUGUGGCUGAUGAAGCAAGGGACCAUCAAAUGCUCCAAUGAGCAUCAUUGGGUAACCACAGCCAUCCAGUUUUGCUUAGCGUUAGUUUGGACCAGUGGGUCUAUUAUAUAUAUAUAUAUAUAGAGAGAGAGAGAGAGACUAAUAUUAAUAACAUUGAUAUUAAUUUGCUCGGACAUCCUUAAAGUUCAUCAUUUAAUAUGCGACAUAUAUUAAUGAUGUCGAUAUUAAUAUCCUCGGCCAAUAUUAAAAUUUAUUACUUAAUAUACAAUAAAAAUUUAAGCUUAAAAGCUUCUAUUUAUAUAAUUUAUUAUAUUGUCAUAUUGCAUUUUAAAUUUAUUUGUAAAAAGAAGGAAAACGUAUGCUCAGCUUGCGUAAAAUUAUUGAAUACUAGUAUUAAUGAUGAUAUUAAUGAGAAAAGUUUAUAGUUGACUAUAAUUAAAGUGAAUUACUUAAUAUAUAACAAAAAUUUGACUACCAAAAUUUUCUAUUAUUAUAAUUUAUCAUAUUAUUACAUCAUAUUUUAAAAAUAAUUAAAAAAAAUAUUCUGUAAAUCGCAUAAAUUAUAUGCAAGUUUAUAUAAAAUCCACAGCUUUUAGACAUAACUAUUUCAUUUAAAAAUCAGCAAACCUUACCCUCUAUACGCUCAGGGUUUGCUGAAUAUGACAACCAGCUCAACUUUUUUGGAAGCCUUGGCGACUCCGACUCGUGAUGCAAGUUUAUGUGGCUGACGGAGAAUUGAGCGGGCGUAAAACCUCCCCACCUGGCAAAGAUAUUUUGCUAAUCAGUGGGUAGCCGCGUCCAUCGGGUUGAGCCCGCGCCCCUGGUUUGUACCAGCGGGAUCUAUAAAAUGACGGUAAAAUCCCUAAACGCCAUUAGCCCCGUCAUCAAAGGUCGUGCCUUGAAGCGCUCUGUGUGUGUGUGUGUGUGUGUGUGUGUGUCUCCGUCAUCGAAGGUCGUGUGUUGAAGCGAAGCUCCGAUCAGCCAUGGAAGCGGAGGGGAGCAGCUCUUCCGUGAACGCGAUGAUAAUAGAGCCAGCCAGGAAGCGAGCGUGCAGGGAUCGCAUCUCUUCCCUUCCCGAUUCGCUUCUCCUCAUCAUCCUCUCCUUGCUGCCGACCAUCGAUGCAGUCAAGACCAGCACCCUGUCCAAGCGAUGGCGCAACCUCUGGACUCAACUUCGCCACCUGGACCUCCAAUUUUCCCCGGAGAGCUUCAGCCAGAACCCUCAUUACCUUCAAAAGGCCCGGCAGAAGUUCCUCGAGUUCGUCAGCGUCUGCUUGAUUCUCCGCAAGCCCGACCCUCUCCAGCGCUUCCACCUCUCCUUCAACUUCUACGAUCGUGCCAGGCACUCGGCCAUGGUCGACGUCUGGGUCCGCUCCGCUCUCGAGCGGCACGUCGAGGAGCUCAUCCUGGACGUGGCACAUCGCCGAGUAGGCGGCAUCAAUCGGCGUAAGGACAUGUAUUCCUUGCCGAAAACUCUUUAUAGCUAUGGGUUUCUGACGAGCCUGUCCUUGAGCUACUGCGUGAUUAAGCUGCCAGCAAAUCCUUUGUGCUGGAGAUUGUUAAGGAGCUUAGCUCUGAGACUGACGACUCUGAGUGACGACCUGCUUGAGAGAAUUUUCCUGGAAUGCUCCUCUCUCGAGACUCUGAUUCUAAAGGACUGUGAUGGCAUUAGCACAAGAAGUGUAGCUGCUCGGAAUCUUAAGCACCUGACGCUGGAGGAAUUGAGGUAUUCGCUGAAGCUUUCUGCUCCAAAUCUUGUUACAGUGGCUAUUUAUGGGUCGGUCAUGCGUGCGACCCAUUCUUUGAAGGACCUGGUGUCCCUAGUGCGCGCAACCAUUAUCCUUCGAGAUGCACGAAUGGGGUAUUACAAUAGUGUGGACCGGGUGGCCAACCAUCCGUUAAAUAGUCUUCUUAUGGAUGUUCGUCAUGCACAAGUUCUGACAUGGUGCAAUUGCUGCACUGUGGUAUGUCUACGUUGAACUUUAAUUGAAUAUUUCAAUUUUCCAUCUAAUUGUGAUGUUUUAUAUCAGUCCGUUUAUUUAUCAACAAUCGCAAGUCCCUUAACGUUUAGUCGCAUCGUAUCAUAUAUUGAAGGCCUCUGUAGAUUUUGAUCGAUAAGAUUAUUGAAGCCAGAGGAUAAUUCAGAAAAAAAGAACCUCAUCUUUAAUUGUAUUUCUAAUCUCUAUUUUGUUUGUAUUUGUCAUUAUUAUAUUUCAAUUGUUCUAAUGUUCAGGAAACGUGGUCAUUUUUGCGGAUCAUAACUCUUUACAUACUACAUUAUAGCGUUCAAAAGAAAAUGAUGUAUUGUACUAUGCGUGGUAGAUUUAUUCUGACGGAGCCGUACAAUCCUUAAGUACUUUAUUGAUACCAAUAGCUGAAUGAUUUCUUAUGCGUUCUUCAGUUAGAUAGUUUGGCCAUUUGUUUCGCUGUGAAGCUUCAUUUCCUUUCUUUUCUUUUAUCUUGAGACUGGUGAUUAGUGAAUUUGCUCUCUAAUGUUCCUUUUUCCUCAAGAUUUUAUAAGUAUUUUAUUCUUCCGGAAAUGGGAAGCAAGAUGAGCAGACCUCUUUUCAAUGAGUUAACAUAGAUAGACAAUUGAUGUUGCAUUAUAGAUCUAUAAAGUCUAGUGAAAAUUAUGUUCUAGCUACUCUUAGACCAUGUAAAGAUUCUUUGUGGGUUCUAAAUAUCUUUUAUUCGCAUAUCAUUCUCUAGAUUUCUUUUCUUUUUUCCAGAGAACCUUUUCUACUUUGUUUUCAUAUUUUCAUGAAAUGAAUUGAUGGGUUCUUCCCAUCCUUUUCUAAUGAAUAAAAGGAUGAAGCUUUGAUUAGCUUAGAGAUGAACGAAGAAUCAUAGGAACUGUUGGCGAGAGCUGUAGUAUGCGACAUUGUGAUUUUCUGUCUGGAUAGGUGAGUAAAAAUGAAAAAUUAUACAGAUAACUUUAAGUUGAAAGUUCGCUCAGAACUUCUAUAAUUUCUCAUUUACUGAACCGGAAAUACAGUUUGGACCACAGACUGUUUGAGGUUCCUUAUUAAACUCUUUUACAAAGGGCGUUAAGUUUACGCUGCUUUUUGACAAAUCAAGUGUAACAACCCAAGGCCUCAUCCAAAAUGGCUAGCCGGAAAUUAUUGUUUGGGUUCCUAGAUCCUGUAUAAGUAUCCAAGAUCUACCCAGCGAAUAACUGAUGUGGGACUAAACACACGCCCGCACGGAUCCUCACAUACUCUCCCCGUCAAUCGGUCCGUGGUCAACCCCAAUGGAUCCGUGCUGCAGUGUCCCCUAGUCCACAUAAGUUAUAGGCCGGGUCCGCUCUGAUACCAUUUAUAACAACUCAGGAUCUCGUCCAAAAUGGCUAGUCAUAAGUUAUUAUUUGGGUUNNNNNNNNNNNNNNNNNNNNNNNNNNNNNNNNNNNNNNNNNNNNNNNNNNNNNNNNNNNNNCACGGAUCCUCACAUCAAGCGCCCAAUCAAAGUUUGUUGCCUGAGUUUUUAGUUGGAUCAUGUUGUUUUCUCCUGAAGCUAAGCGUAGAUGGGAGCCGUAAAGGUUCUCUGCACACAUUGAGGUGGAACAAACUCUAUUCGAUAGUUAAGGAGCAAGUUUAUUAUCCAGUAAAAUAUAGAAUAAGCUCUUUUUCUUUAUUUAUAAGUAGAAGAUUGAGAAAGGAAUCAACAAAGUUGGAAGUGGAGUUCAAACUCUACUUCCCUAGGAGGCUCAUGGUGGAACCCUAGCAGGCUUUCGGGAAAGGGAAAGCCAUUAGCGAGGUAAAUUGGGAUGCUAAUGGGAUCCACAGCGCAGGAGUGCUAUGGUUUAGCGCCACUUCUAUGGUCGUGGAUUCAGGCCAAGCCCGGGAAGCGAAGGUCGAUCAGGAGCUAGGAGGAGGACAGAAGAGGUCAAUCAGCGCUGUUAUCCGUGGAUAGCCUCGCCCUACUUGGAUGUGUUCGCUGGCUAUCCGUGCGUAGCCUCUUACUCCGUGGGAACCCCGGUGUAAACGAAUAGGGAGCGGACGUGCGUGGAAGCGAAGAAGCUUAAUUAGUCCUUGGUUUUAGGAGAAAAGAGAUUCUGAUAAGACUUCGAUUCAUCUUAUCGCUGAGAAGCGGAACAAGAGUUUCUGCAAUCGGAAAAGCUACUUUCUCCCUCGCAGCUCUCCUCGGCGAACCUCUUCCCCGCCUAUGGUAUUAAUUUGGCGGAAGCGAAAGAAGCUGGAAAGUAGAGUUCAAACUCUACUUCCGCUCAUGGAGGAUGACAUGAUGGUCAAUCCUCGGUCUUACCUUCGGACGUGCGCGCAAACCUUGCAUGCUUUCGGGAAAGGGAAGGCCACUAUAGCGAGGUAAAUCUGGAUCAUAAUGGCCGGAUGCAUGGCGCGGGAUGCAGAGGUCGGACCUUUCGGUAAUGAUCGCGGAUUCAGACGAAGCACAUCGACGCAUGGCUGGGAAGCGAAAGAUGAUCGAGCUAGGCGGAAGGCCACCGGACUCCUCCACCAAUGGCUCCAAAUAGGCGGAAGUACGGCUCUCUCUUUCCGAGCGCUAUUACGGGCUGCUUUACGUCCUGUGCUGCGGCGGGCCUCCUGGAAUUUCCCACCAUUUCCUUGAAACAAAGAUUGGUCUGAAUUCCUUCUCAUGUACGAGCAUAAUAAAAGAACAAUUCAAAAGGGUUGCCUCAAUCGCUUCACACCUUUGCAUGCAUGUUGCUAAUUGCCACCAACUACACCAAUUAGCAAAAAAUACUUUUUGAUGGUGAUUCGCAUGAAACGAAGUAACACCACUAUUAUCUCUGCUCUGGUGGUGUGGCCCGGAAGGGUGUUACCACAAGAUAAAAUGCUUAUAUUUUUAAUUGACGUUCUUAUAUUUUUAAUGCCGAUAAAAUGCUUAGCUCGCAUGAUAUAAUAACAAGAGAGACUCAACGUAAAGAGUUCUCCGGAGAUAGGAUACGAUGGGGAAAUUCCGAUAUGGACGGUUGGAAAGGUAAAGAAAGAUCCCAUUUAGCUUCUAUAAUAUUUAUAAAAAUAAGAGUUUAGAAAACAAGAUUAAGGAUUUCUUUUUUAUUUUUAUUCAGAAAGCACGCUUCCUAUCUCGUAUUAUCUUAAAAACUAAUGUUAAUUAUUCCACAUUCUCGCUCACGUUGGCUACCAAAUUUACUCUUUAUUCUCCUUUUCCAAUCAAAUCAUACUCUUUUUAUAAAUUGCCCAAAGAGAUUGAUUUUAAUUUCUUAUAUUUUCUAAUCCAAUUCCAAUAUAGAUUGGACAUUUUGAUUCAACUGCUCGGUUAAUUUCUCUCCUCUCUUUCCUCCAACAUGCCUAGUUGCCGGUUUAUGUUAAAAGAACAAGUAUCUCUCUCCUCCUCUUCCGAAUCAUAUCUCUUUUAUAUAACUUUCAAACCACUUGGACUAUCUUUCUCAAAUAUAACUCCUAAAAGUUUUGGAUUCCGAGAUUCGCAUUAAAUUACUAAUUACCUUUAGGUAGUUUCAAGUCCAAACUUUUUCUCUCCGUACUUACCUUUCGCAGGUAUGAACAAAACAUACAAUGCAAAAACAUGUCCUGCAAUAGAACCAAGAUGUUCUAUGGCUCCUUUCCUCAUGAUUAAUCAUCAAUGAUCAUGUAUCUUUAGCUAUGGGAAAAGCUUGUCUAAUGGCUACAUGCUUACAAACAAAUCAGGCUACAUACUUAGCUUUACCCUUUGGUCUCUAAGUUACAUUGUAUAACUUUGUGGACGAUUCUGAUGUCCACAAGAGACAUCCAUUUAGCCAAAAUGCGUCAUGUACGUUGUAGUCGGACUCUUGAAAAUAUUAGAUAUUAAACAACAAUGCUAUUUGAAGUAGUGUGUUUAGCGCGUUCAAUGUAUAUGUUUUUCUCCUUGGAAAAAGUAUUAGUUGAAGCGAAAUUCUUGGAUGAUUUUUUUCUCGGUUGGAAAAGGAUUAGGGAAGGGGGAGGCGGACGGGGUUCAGCUUCCUAUCUUUCUCGGGUUCCACUUUUAACCGACAAUUUUUGAGAGAAAAAUCUAGCCCACGUAUUUGUUUCUGGUAAACAAGCAACGGAAUUUUAAAAACUAACAUAAACACGCAAACCAAGGAGUUCGGUUGACGCGAAGCCUUAGGGCAUAUAGAUUGAGGCUAAAAUAAAAUAAAGAAGAAAAAGCGCAUGUGGCAUGAGUUUUUUACUUCUUAACCUGGAGAAGGAUAAAAUUUUUGUUAUCCGUGGGGCUGCAAACCGGCCAGGUGUGUGCGGGCAUAUGUUUAGUUCCAUAUCAGUUAUUCACCGAAGAGAUCUUGGGUACUUAUACAUGAUUAAGGAAUCCAAAAAAUAUCUUUCGGCUAGCCUUUUUGAGUGAUGCUUGGGUUGUGACAAAUGGUAUCAGAGUGAACUCGACCCAUAACCUAUGUGGACUAAGAGAUAUUGCAGUAUGAGUUUAUGAAGGUUGACGACGAGCCAUUCAUGGUACUUGUAAUUAAAUUUGAAUGGAUUUGAAAUUUUAGCUUGACGAUGGUGUUAGGGCUUCAACGGGAGGACCAAGAAUAUCAGAGCUUCAACGGGAGGAGUAUGUGAGGAUCGGUACGGGCGUGUAGUAAUUAGUCCCACAUCAGUUAUUGGCCGAAAAAAUCUUGGAUACUUAUACUGUACAGGACUAAGAAACUCAAAUAAUACAUUCCGGCUAGCCAUUUUAGGUAAGGUCCUGAGUUGUUACAAAUGAUAUUAGAGCGAACUUGGCCCAUAGCCUAUGUGGACUAGGGGACAUUGUAGCACGAGUUUAUAAAGGCUGACCAUGGGCCGAUAGUAGUGCUUGAGAUUAGAUUUGAAUGGAUUUGAACCCUUUGCCUGACAAGGACGUUAAAGCUUCAACGAGGAGAGUAUGUGAGGAUCCGUAUGGGUGUGUGUUUAGUCCCACAUCAGUUAUUUGCCGAAGAGAUCUUGGGGACUAAGGAACCAAAAAAUAAUUUUUGGUUAGUCUUUUGAGGUGAGAUUCUGGGUUGUUAUAAAUGAUAUCAAAACAAACUCGACCCAAAGUCUAUGUGGACUAGGAGACACUACAGCACAGGUUCAUGGAGACUGACUCUAGGCCAAUCAUAGUGCUUGUGAUUAGAUUUGAAUGGAUUUGAAUUCUUAGUCUGACAAAAACGUCAGGGCUUGAACGGAAAGAGUAUGUGAGGAUCCGUGCAGGCGUAUAUUUAGUCCCACAUCGGUUAUUCGUCGAGAAUAUCUUGGAUACUUAUACAGGAUUAAGGAAUCCAGAAAAUAUUUUCCGGCUAGCUUUUUUGAGUGAUAUCCUAGGUUGUGACACUUGGUCAGAUCAGGUAUGCUUGAUCCUAAUUUUACCCAGUUUCAUGUAUGCGUCUUAGUAUUGAAUCUAGAUCCAAUCUAAUAACUGAUUGGAUCGGCUUCUUUUAAAAUAUUUUAGACCAAAUGGGUCGUUCAAUCUGGUCCGGAUCAUUUAUAAUCUGGAUCCAACCUAAAAUAAAUGGAUCCGAGUUGGAUCGAGGUUGGGUUUGAUUCGUGUCCAAGAUCUACAUUUAUUUGCUAACAAUAUUUUAUGGAGGAACAUCCGAAUCAAACUAAAUUUUGAUGGCAAUAAAAUUAUUUGGUAACAUUGCCAAAGCUUCAUGAAUUAAUGUUCAUCUUGAACUUCAAUCUAUUUCAAGAGGUUGAUAAUCUCAACAACUAUCUUUAUUUAAUAUAGUGAGAUUAGUUUGAACGUUUUUCUAUUAACACAGAAAAAGAGGAAUGAUUUGGAAUACUUUCUUCGGAUCAAAUUGAGUCGGCUUGAGUUGGGUAACUAAUAGGAAGAUUAGAAAUAGAAUUAUAAAGUGUAUAGAUUGGGUGGGGUUGAAGUUUAUAAAAUCCAGACUUAAUCCAAAAUAUGGAAUGGGUCCAAUAUUUGAACCCAACCCAGACCAUGGGUCUUAAAGAAUGGAUUGGGUUGGAUCUAUCCAGGUCGUAUUGGGUCCGGUCUAAUCAGGUUGGUCGGGUUGGCUCACCAAUCAUUCUGACCUAUUUGUAGCCUUAGCUAUCUCAUCUAUGGGUUUUUUUUAUUCAGAAGACCUAGUGUCAUUUAUUUCAUUUCUUUAUUCACAUCACUAAAUUGUAUUCCUGUAGUUUCUCCUCAUACCUAAGACUUCCCCCAUUAAAAAAUUAGAAGAGAUAAACAUCACAAUUAUCAUGUUUUAUCUCAUGUCUAUAAUGCUACUUUCAUUAAACUAAAUAGCCAACAAGUAUGAAGGAGACAUAAACUAUAGUUAUAUCUUAAAAAUAUAAUUUAUAUUUUCAAAAUAUAAACAAGAUGUAACAACAAAAGUUCUUCAAUGUCCUCAUGCUCAUGGUUUCCUGAAUGCAUUCCAUAGAUAGCGCUUGCAAUUACGAUUGGCCGACUAGACGCUCCUAAUUCUAAUUGUUUUGACUCGGGAAAUUUUUAUACUAAUUUAAAGUUUUGCCAAAAAAAUGAACGAAUGAUGCGAACUCAUCUUAUAAUCAUUGCAUUUGAAACCUAAUCCUCACUGUUUGCCUUUCGUAGUUGUUGGCUCUGCAGGAAAUAAGAAAUCUCCAGUCACCCUUUAUGAGGCCGAGGAAGUUGGUUUUGAAGGUUACUUUACGUAGGUGGGAGACCCCUGGGAUAUACAACUUGCUAAGACGGUCACCAGAGCUUGAGACGCUUGUUCUACAGAUAAAUGCCCCAGAUGCAUGUCGUGGACCCAAGGUGGGCAUUAGAAACCUCUCAACUCUUUUGUUUCAUCUUAUUGACCUUCUUUUGUGCUUCUUCCAAGACUAACUGCAGACGUACUUGCAUUUCAGUUUAUUGGAGAAUUCAAGAGGGUCAGCAAAUUUUUCUUAAGUAUUUAUUCAGAGCCAAAGAGCACCGAACUCUCUUGUUUGAAGCAUCAUCUGAAGAACUUUGAGGUAGAGGACUUCACGGGACUGCUCUCUAAUGAUAGCUUGUCAAGGGCGGGCUACCUCAAGUACCAAGAGAGGGUCCUGGGGCUUGUAAGGUUUAUCCUGAGGAAAGCUUUUGUUUUGGAGAAAUUGACUAUGCGCAUGGCUCAGAUGCCCAACUUCGAAGAAAUCUCGGUGGGUAACCAGAGGCAGUUAGAUACUACUCGGAAGAUUCUGUCUUUCCCGAAAGCCUCCCAUGCUCGGAUAGUGUUUCUUACAAAUGGAAUGUAGACUUAAUUUUUAGUAUGAUUGGUCAUUGAUUGGUGGACGCUGCAUUUUUGAAUUUGAAAGCUGGAUGUAGUCUUAAUCUGCAGUAUUGGUUAUUAAUGGCGGGCUAUGUAAUCUAAAAUUUGUAAGCUGGUAUAUUUGAGUUAUGCAGGAAAUUAUUCCCCUGAAUUCUCAUUCAACAACUCGCUCUUAUGUGGAAACUCAUCAUCUUGUUAUGUCUGAUGAAAGAGAUCAGGAUUUUUUUUUUUUUGGAGCAAUACAGAGCUAAGAAUUAUUGGCAGUAGAUUAGGAUAUUAUUUUCAGUACAUGAUGCUUUCAUUCGGAGGGUAAAAAAUAUGUACAUGAAUUCUUUGAACCUGCAGCUUUGCAUGAAAAAAACUUAAUUCUUGCCCUUGAAAAAAAGGGAGGUGGUGGGAAACCUGAAAGAACGCAUCACCUUUUCUCUGAUGUUAAGGGAGGCAAAACUGCCACCCGGUCUCUAUUAAAAAUCACAUAGCAUGCACAACAGAGGUAAAGAUACAGAGAAGAGUGAGUUUUUUGACAGCUCUACAUGAGGGCUGUUGCAGUGACGUGAAAGUAGAUAGGAGCAGGGCGGAGAGUUUCAGUCAAAGAAAAGGAUAACACACGAACAGAGGCUAAAAAACACAGCAGAAGAAACAGAUCAGCUUCGCUGCAGGAUUUUUGGCAGAGCUGGUUUCAGAAUGAGGAAGAAAAAAGUGAGUCAGAGAGAGGACAAGAAAGCAUUGAAUCUGUAAUUACUUGAAAGGGCUCUAAACACAUUCUCUUGGUAACUAGUUUAUCAUCUCUUCCACUCCAUUUCUUUUGUUUGAAAUCUUAAAAUCAUUGCCUGAUUUAACCUUCUGGUGCCUUUUAAAGCAAGCAUACCUGAAGGAGUUGUUUCUCUUAUUUGCAUGUUAUGAUUUUUCAAGUUACAGCACAUGUAUAGAUUUUCUGAUUUAGCAUUGCUGAAACACAGUUAACCUAUUGUUCAGUAAGAGGCUUAGCUUGGUGCAUUGGGAACUUUCAAACAGCUUUACUGUGGUAUAAAAGGCAGAUUAAUGCAGGGAUUCUUACAGGUGACUGCCUCAACCUUGUUUGGUUAUUAAGAAAGCGACGAUGCAUGAUUGCAAAAGUUUUUCAUUGGUAAUUUACCUGAUAAAUUUUGUGUUAUCAAAUGCUCUUCUUUUUUCUUGUUGGAUGAGGAAAAUUUAUGGAGUUAGCAAAAGAAAAUGUGGCCAAAUGCAGGUCCUGUUUCAUUACAAAUAUAUUCACAUUUCAGAUUUUUAGAAGUCAUGUAGUUCUACAAUUAUAUGCUUGGCUUUAACAGAUUCGCUGCUGAUCAUUUCAUUGAAGCCAUUCAGUCCUUCCAUUCCCUCUGCCUGUCUGUUGGUAUAAAGAAUUAUGACAUGGCAUUCUUUGAUUCGACAGAUUUGUUGGAUAGCAAGGCAGAUUCACACCCUUUCCAGAAAGGGUCUGACAAUGGUUUCCCACCACUUGUUUGCUCCUAGAAACCCUCCCAUCCUUGGAGGGCAUAUAAUUUUCUUUUGAGAUUAUGGUGACUAUUUUUCACCACUCGGUUUUGAACAUAAGACCUCUUACUUGAAGAGAUGGGAGGCAAACUAGCUAAUCUACGAACUACUAAUGAGAGCAUAUAUAUAUAUAUAUAUAUAGUAGACCAAUGCUGUGAGUACUUGGAAACUCAUCAGCUACAAACUUUAACGAAAUAUGAACUAUGCAGAGCCAAUAACUGUUUCAGCAAAUGAAAUCAUGCUACAUCCUUCAGUUUUAAUAUGUAACACGAAGAACAAGAAAGCAAAAGAUUCUACAGAGCAAAUCUUCAAAAUUCUCUGCAUUGGACCUAAUUUGCCUGCUGAACAUAGAUAUAGAUAGUCAAAAACAAAUUUUGAUGCAGAAUAGAAAAUCUAAUAAGACCUAUUAGGAAUUUGGAACAUCUAUAAUAGCAGAUACUUGGAGGAAGAUGAGCAACAUGUAAUGGAGUGAUGAGCCUAAUAAUAUAGACCAUCUCUCAUUAGAUGCAAAUUACAGAUUUUUUUUAUAAAGUCAAUCUGCUAGAAAACCGAAAGACAACUAAAUUAAAGGACAAUAUAGAUCAAUCAGGCAGGCAGAGCAAGCAAUAGAACUAAACUGUACAUGAUACAUUCGAAUAAAAACCCCCCUCUCAACAGCAUUAGUUGUAACCCUGGCAUGAAUGAAAUGUUUGGUAAAGCAGCAUAACAAAUAAAUGGCCUGAAAAACAUGUAUUUUAAAACUCCAAGUCCAACUCAAACAGGUAUAAAUAACAGAAAUUGUAUUAAAAAUUCUUUUGAUGUUAUUCCACAGAAGAAAAAUCUUACUGUAUUUCCGUACACAUCAGAAGAUGAUCAAAAUAUGAAAGUGUGAAAAGAUCAACAAGAAAUAUCUUCUCAGGAAUUUGAAUUGCAAGUUCCAAGAUCACUAUGGAAUUUCUAUAUCAUUGAUCAACGCAAAAGACAGAUCAAAAGGAAUGUAAAACCUC